rnacentral:tmRNA from 1 species
AAAUAAAUGGACCCGAAGGUAGUAUUUGGUAUUUCCAUAUAAAUUAAAUAACAUGGGGAUAAUUAUCGAAUUGACAUUUAU